rnacentral:misc_RNA from 1 species
GAUGAAGAACGUAGCGAAAUGCGAUACUUGGUGUGAAUUGCAGAAUCUCGUGAACCAUCGAGUCUUUGAACGCAAGUUCCGCCCGAAGCCUCGGCUAAGGGCACGUCUGCCUGGGCGUCACGCAUCGCGUCUCCCCCAAACCGCCAAGGCGGAGGGGAAGGAAGAUGGCUUCCCGUGCCUCACCCGGGCGCGGUUGGCCUAAAUUUGGAGCCCGCGGCACUUAGCUCUCGCGGCGAUAGGUGGUGAACAAGGCCUUGGCCGUGCAAACAACCCGCUGCGAAGCUCUAUGUCACGUGCGCUCGUCGGACCCUUUGAAGUUGCCUUCGGUGACUUAAAACCUUUGCGACCCCAGGUCAGGCGGGGCUACCCGCUGAAUUUAAGCAUAUCAAUAAGCGGAGGA